UAGGUAAUGACUCUAUUCAAGCCGGCCGUAUUUUUGCUCCUCGAAACGGCCGGCUUAUCCAUCUUCCAUUAUUGAUCAGACACUCCCAGGCAUCUUCCUCUUCAUAGUUCAUUCACACACACGCAUGCAAACACACUGCUCUCUCCCCAUCCUUCGAUUUGUUCAUCAAACUCCGGUGGAAUCAUGGCCGCGGCCGGCGACGAGCCGACGACACAAGUUGCUCCUAUCCUUUGUCUGAAGUGGAGCAAGAAAGAAGUCGUUGCAAUUCUCAAUCUCUUCACCUGACAGAGUUAGGACAAGAUGUAGCUGACAGGCAAUGAGGACAAAAGCAGCUACCCUAUGCUUAUCUACCAAUGUGUUUUGUGGGUACAACAUCCUUCUUCAAAUUGGCGCCUGAAAUUUUGUUGUGAUGUUUACCACUUUUGCCUAGCAAUAAUCUGAAUGCGGAAUGUUUCAGUUUCACUGUAAAGAGUCAAAGACUGGUAUGCUCUGGGCCAUGCAUGCCCCCUCAUCGCUAGGUGUGAUCACUAGUAAUGUAGUAUUAGUGCUACUCUAUAUACUCUCUGGAGUAAUGUAACGCUUUCAAGAUUUGGCAUAUCAAUAUAUUGUCUGUGCAAUUUUGUUA